rnacentral:rRNA from 1 species
UACGAAGGGGGCUAGCGUUGUUCGGAAUAACUGGGCGUAAAGCGCACGUAGGCGGAUCUGUAAGUCAGGGGUGAAUCCCGGGGCUCAACCUCGGAACUGUCUUUGAUACUGCAAGUCUAGAGUCCGGAAGAGGUGAGUGGAAUUCCUAGUGUAGAGGUGAAAUGCGUGGAUAUUAGGAAGAACACCAGUGGCGAAGGCGGCUCACUGGUCCGGAACUGACGCUGAGGUGCGAAAGCGUGGGGACCAAACAGG